rnacentral:tRNA from 1 species
GGGAAUGUGGCUUAGUGGUAGAGUGCUUGCCUAACAUGCAUGAAGCUCUAGGUUCAAUUCCUCAGUACCA